rnacentral:rRNA from 1 species
GUGCCAGCAGCCGCGGUAAUGCGUAGGUGGCAAGCGUUGUCCGGAAUUACUGGGCGUAAAGCGUGCGCAGGCGGUUAUAUAAGACAGAUGUGAAAUCCCCGGGCUCAACCUGGGAACUGCAUUUGUGACUGUAUGGCUAGAGUACGGCAGAGGGGGAUGGAAUUCCGCGUGUAGCAGUGAAAUGCGUAGAUAUGCGGAGGAACACCGAUGGCGAAGGCAAUCCCCUGGGCCUGUACUGACGCUCAUGCACGAAAGCGUGGGGAGCAAACAGGAUUAGAUACCCUGGUAGUCCACGCCCUAAACGAUGUCAACUGGUUGUUGGGUCUUCACUGACUCAGUAACGAAGCUAACGCGUGAAGUUGACCGCCUGGGGAGUACGGCCGCAAGGUUGAAACUUAAAGAAAUUGACGG